rnacentral:rRNA from 1 species
AUGCUGAAGUAUGAAGUAGAUAUGGAAGACAAAGAAAUGCAACAAGCAGAAUGUUGCAUACUAGAAGAGUUUCCGCCAACUCCAGGGCCAAAAGAACAUAUUAUGCAUUUGACAACCACACAAGAGCAUGAAGUUAUUGAUAUAUCCAGUAAACGCAAAGAUAUUAUGGAUGUCAGCAGCCACGCCGUUGCCCAACAAUCUUGCACAGACCACGAACAAAAUGAUCCAUCAAUAGAACCAGAUCAACCACCACCAGACGACAAGAUACCACACCAUGCCGAAGAGGAAACAGACGAGCAAAAUAUCAACAGCAAUAUCACGACCACAGAGCAACUGGAACAAACAGGCACUGAUUUAAAAGAGGAUGACAGAAGCAACGACGUACCAAAUACACAACAACAGGAAGAAGUUGACGAAUUUUUUUCAAGCCUUAACCCGCUACAACUAGAGGUGUACAGCGACCAUAUAAAGAUGGGCUCAACUUCGAUUUAA